GGGAGAGGGGGCGGGGAGGCGUCGCGGAAAAGUAAAGUGACAGCUGAGUCCCGGUCGCGCGGGCGGGCGAGAGUGAGGAGCGUCGGACUGAGAAGGAGCUGCAGGGACCCGGAGAGUCCUUUGCAGCCCCUGACUUCACAACUUGCCUCAGAGCUUUUGCAAAGUAGCUGCGAGGACUGCCUCUGUGGACACAUUCACCUAAACUCGUGUGCUAGCGGUGCCCACAUGCACCCAAGGUAGGUAAACUUCGCGUUGGCCUUGGAAAGUUCUAUGGAGUAAGCCUGACUCCUCUCCCGACGCUGCAACACUGAGGCCCUUUGGCCUGAGACUCUCUCAUCCUGAAGCCUCCCUGGUUAUUAGCUAGGUGCUCUGGACCAUUUAGGCCAGGGGUACUGGGGGGGACUGUUGGAGGUGCUAAGAAGGCAGCACUAUCAGAGCAAGUAGAAGCUGCCUCAAAUCCAGUUAACUGAAGGAUGGGGGCACAGUAGCAGUGUUGUGGGUAGGCUGGGGAAGCAUUAGGUUCUCCUAUAUUUGCCCUAAAUAACUUUUUUAAAACACUGCAUACUUAAUGAAGUUGGCUACCAUAAACUUUGCUCUAUUCCCCCUCCCCUCCCUUCUUACUAGCUGAAUGCUGUUACUGCUUCUAAAUUUUUCCUGUGUAUAGACUUCCGAGCUGUGUAUGUGGGAAAUUUGUGCUAUCUAGGGCUGAAGACAGACUUACACCCACAUAUCCCAAAGAAAGGGGCAGAUUUAAUAUAAUCUAGGUCACUUGAACAUAACUUAGUCAAAUGCAUAUUAGAGGAAAACCGGACUGCUGUAUCAGACUCAGAGAACAGUUCAGAACAGCUCAAACAAGCUGAAGAAAUCAGUGCAAAAGACCAGAGAAGCCAGGCAUGGCAUUCAACUAUAAUCCCAACUACUCCAGAGACUAAAGCAGAAGGAUCAUAAAUUUGAGGCCAGCCUGAGCAAUUUAUGAAGACUGUCUCAAAAUUUUAAAGGAUGUAAGGGUGGGGCAGGGCUGGUCAUGUAGUUCUACCUGAGUUCAUUGCUCAAUACUGCUAAGAAAACAACAAAAAAACGAAGAUUGCAACAGUUUAGGAGUUAUGCAUAUGUCUCGAACAGAAUUCUUUCUUCAAAUAUCUUGUUCAAAGAUUGACCAUUAUUUGAUAAUGUCUCCAAAAAUUGCCAAAAGCAAAUACUGGUAUCUAUCCUCUAUAAAUCACCACUGAACAAAAACGAGAGCAUUAUUGUAUAUUACUUCUAUGUGUUGCUUAAGGUUACUUAAGAUAUCAACAGAUUACCUUUAAACUAUAUAUGGAAGGAUUAGAAAUUAGCAUAAUCUGGGUUUAUCAAUAACAGUUACCUAUCUCUUUCAUGGUAUAAUGUAUUAGUAGGCAUGAUACAAUAAAUUGUACUUGCUUUUUAAUAUUUCACAUAUAAUGAGAGCAUUUCAUAGGCUACCUAAAUUGAUUACUAAUUCAUCUUAAUUAAUUAUAUAGCAUUAUUUUCAUUUUCUAAUUAUGUUUUAAGAACACAGAAAUAUCAAAGUCUGCCAUGUGUUUCAAAACUUGUUACUGUGGAUGAAACCCGUAGCUUCUUGCAUGCUGAGUAUAUAUGCUGUGCCACUGAACUACAGCCCCAGUGUCUCAUUCCCUAUGCUUUUCUCCAAGUAACUGCUCUUGCAUAUAUUUUUCUGUAUGUGUCCUGUUAGUUUUUGUUUACGAUGAAUGUUUUAACAAAGUGCUCUUCUGUUACAGAAAAUGUCACAGUUGUUUUUCAGACCUUGUUCAUUGGCAGCUGGGAGCCAGGAUGCAGCAGUGUCAAUGUCCAUCUUGUGGAAAGGAUUGGAGAAGGUUUCACUGCUUGAUUGCUGAAGCUGGUUCCAACAGAAGUACUUCAUUUGUCUGGAGCUGUUUUACCGCUGUUAGCUAUUUAUAAAGUUCAAAAAAGGAAUAGUACAAAUCAGAAUUAUACUUCCUAUUCUUUCAAGGAAUAUCUGUUGAGUACCAGGCAUUCAAUACUAGUCAGGUGUGGUGGUGCAUACCUGGUAACCUUAGCAAUUGGGAGGCUGAGGCCAGUCUGGGCUAUUUAGUAAGUUCAAGGCAAGCCUAAACUACACAGCAAGACCCUGUCUAAAACGAAACAAACCCCCCAAAACAGGAAUAUGGAGUCUGGGUGGUAGGGCUAUAGCUUUGAAGAAGUAAAAAAAAUCCCUGCCUCACAGAGCUCUCCUCUUCCUGACACUUCCCUGUUUUAUAUUCCACAUCUAAUAUAAUAGCAAAUUCUAUUGACUCUGCCUUCAAGAAUAUAUCCUGAAAGUGUCCAUGUCUUCCUAGUCCCUCCACACUGCUAAUGCCCUGAUUCAACCCUCCACACCGCUAAUGCCCUGAUUUACUCAGCCAUGGUCUCCUACCUGAUUGUUCUACUUCCCACUAAUCCAUCUACCACACCCACCCCAACAAACAGCAGUCUGAGUAGGUUGUUUGUUUUGGUACCAGGGAUUGAACUCAUGACCUUAUGCUUGUCAGGCAGGUUGAGUAGAUUUUUAAAAACAUAGGUUAGGUUAUACCUCUUCUCUGAAAGGCCAGUGGCUUUGCAUUCUACAGCAACCACCGGUUCUUCUGAUGACUUCAUGCAGGAGCCCUAUGACUUCAAGUUGUAUAGUUUCACCUGAUCCUCAUCUCUCUCCAGCCACACUCACUUGCUGUUAUAAAACACACCAAGCAUUCCUCAGUCUCAAGACUCUUGUACUUCGUAUUUCCAAACAUUCUUCUCUCUUACUCUACCUGUAGAACUUCCUAUCUCCUUUGUAGGCUUUAUCUUUCUCAGAACCAUCAUCUGACAUGGUUUGUUUUAAUCUUUCCCUUCUUCCUCUUCCUUCUCCAAUCCUUGCCCCACACCAUCCAAUACAUGCAUACAUGUAAGCACCUUAAAUAAAAGGGUAUUGUUGGCUGGGGUUCACUGCUAUAGAUAUUCAUUAGUACUGGUUGGGAGGGAAAUCAGCUUCUUUCAUUUGAUAACAUAAUAGACAUCUUUCUAGUUUCUUCAGUAAAGAUCAUUAGUAAUUUCGGGAUUCUUAAUUUGUAGUAGGCAAUGUGCUAAGUGUUUUAUAUGCACAUACCUGGGUUGGUUUCAUUUCACUGACCUGGAACAGAUCAAAAUUCUGAGGUACAGAGAGAUUUAGUUACUUGCCCACAAUUUCACAGCUAGUUAGUAGCAAAAACUAAGAUUUGGAAUCAGUUUGGCUGUGGAAUCUGUGAACCUCAGGACAGUUUACCAUGAUCCCAGUGUACAAACACAGAUUUUUUUGUUUUUUCAUUUCUCUCCCGUAAGACUCAAAUUUGGUCUCUAAGAUAAAUAGUUUACCUUGUUUAUAUUUCCUGCUCUGGCCCAUCGAUCUGUCAUCAUGAACUCUCUUUCCUUUUCUACGUUUAUUUCUAGGCUUUAAUUGAGUCUAUAUUUUCCACCUUAGAAUUGACAAAUGACAAUUUUUUUUUUUUGAAGAAUUCUUAUCACUUUGUUGCUGCCAACUUCAUGAGAAGGUAGAAUCACAAUUAGUUUUCCAGCUUGACUGGAUGGGUGAUAGAAAAGACUCUCUGUGGAGAAUUGGACUCGAUUUUAGCAGAAAGCAUCAUAGUGGUAGAGUACUGCCACUUAUUUAGGCAGCUGUCCUCCUGUUAGGCACCCAGUGAUUAGGAGUUAUUAAAUAUUUGGAUUAUGUUAUGCAAGAAACAUCAUAUUAGCUCAGAUCCACCUAAGAGAACAGAAACAAAGACAAUAAUUGUUUACUUAAUGCCUGGUUUAAGGGAAGCUAUGGGCACCCUGUAGUACCCAGAAUAUUUUGGAUAUGAAAGAAAGCCAAUGCUAAUAAGGGACAAUUGAAGUUCCAUUAAUGCUGAGACCCCCAAGGACCCAAUUACUUAGUACAGUAUUGUCACAAAGAUGGUGGCUAAAAAGUAUUACAUGAAUGAAUGAAUUUCUAACAGAAAAUGGAAGAGUACCAAGGACUAAUUCUCCUGACUUCCUCAUUUGGCCCAAGACUGCCACCUAGGCCACUAUGUAGGAUUACAUAUGUUGUAAACUGUAACAUAUCAGGGGACGAUAUUCAGGUAAAUUAAAAUGUCAAUACAUAACUGUGGUUGCUUCUCUGAGUUUCAGCCCUUGUCCAAAUAUGGUAAUCAGUCUUUAUGAUGACCUCAAUGAUCUUGGUAAUCAUACCCUUAUAGAUUUCCCUACCAUUUUCUGUAAGUGUUGGUAGAAUGCUGAGAAAUCAUUGUAUAAGGUAGAGGUAGGAAAAUCAUUUGAAUCCAGGAAUUCCAGACCAGCUUGGAUAACAUAGCAAAACCCCAUCACAAGGAACGAAAGAAAGAAAGAAAAGAGAAGGAGGAGGAGGAGGAGGAGGAAGAGGAGGAGAAGAAGAAGAAGAAGAAGAAGAAGAAGAAGAAGAAGAAGAAGAAGAAGAAGAAGAAGAAGAAAGAAAAGAGGCAAAAAGACACUGAGGUUUCCACCUUGGUUAUGUGCACAGUCUCUCAUCAUUCAUUGUGACAAAAGCUAACUGCCAUAUUGUGAGCAGCUCAAUGGAGAGGCCCCUGUAGCUAGAAUCAGAAGUCUCCUGUCAAUGUCCAUGUUAGCAAGCUUGGAAGCAGAUCUUUCAGUCUCAGUCAGAGCUUCAGCUGAUGAAUCCCUCAUCAACAUCUUACCUGCAGUCUCAUGAAAAAUCUGGAGCCAGGAUCACCCAGGUCCGGAGAUGAAACUCAAGAGCCUUAUGCCUGGUAGAAUUCUUCAUUAACAUAUGUGCACAAAAAAACUACGAAAGAGCUACCUGUAUGACACACAACUCUGAAAGCCUACCAGUGGAUUCCGGUGGUAGAGGAGAAAUAUGAUUUGCAGCAUCUCAUCUCAGAGGAUGGAUUUGGAACACUGGAGUUGCUGCUGAGGGACCUAAUGAAUUACAGGAAUAUUGGUUCUUUGAAUGACUGUGAUGUUAUGAGAAUCGAGCUCCUUGGAGAUCCUUCAUAAACAGCUAAAGGCUAACACGACCUAAUUUCAGGACUUCUUAUAAAACUAAAGGAAUUAAAACAGCAUAAGAUAGAACAAGCUAAAUAAGAAAUUGAUAAAACAACAUAAAAGAUUUAGAAAUAGACUCACAGAUAAUGGCAACUGAUUUUUAAAGAAGAUACAGAGGCAAUUCAGUGGAGAAAGGAUGCCACCAAUAUAUAGUAUUAGGAAAGGUGUAUUCCUGUACAAGCAGAAAAAGGAAAAAAUUAAAAAAGAAAAACUUUGAGCCAUCUUUGUAUCAUGUAAAAAAUUAACUCAACAUGGCUAAUAGAUGUAAAUAUAAAACAAAGCUGUAAAAAUGCCUACAUAAUGCUUAAGAGAAAAUUUUUAUGACCUUAAGAAUUUUUAGAUAGUCACAAGAGCAUACUUCAUAAAAGAAAAUAAUUCAUAAAUUUUAUUUCAUUAAACUUAAAAGCUUUUGGGCGCACCAGGAAGAGAACAAGUCAGCGUCUCCUGAGAUCCAGCCAUGUUGGAACUUGGGGGGCCAAGCAAGAAAGCAACAAGCCCUCCUUCUUGGUAAGUGGCGGAGGCAAUAAGCAAGCAGCAGGCAUGCCAGGGGAAGAACAAGUCAUUGUAUCCUGUGAGCUUACCGGAAUCAAAAGUCCCAUGUGUGUGCCCUCCCAACCAUUAGCAACUGCAUAGUGUCCAGGACAGCCAGAGUUGAUAGCAACUAAGGCACAUAAAGCAACUAAAUGCUUGUAUUGUUGGUUUGAUUAUGCUGACCUGGGGCCAGAGGUCUGAGCAUCUCUUGGGAGGAUGCCUGUAUACAAUACAGCAAAUAUGGAGGAUUUCCUUCUAUCUUCUCUUAGAAGACAAAUAUUGUUUUGCUUUGUUCUGAUUGUUUUGUUCUAUUCAGUAUUCUGUUUUGAUAGUUUUUUUCCUUUUUCUUUUUUUGGUACCGUGAGUGAACUCACGACCAUACGCUUGCAAGGCAGGCGCUUAUGCCGCUGAGUUAAAUCCCCAGCCCCCUUUUGAUAGGUUUUAUAAUGUUCUGUUUUUGGUUUCAUUUUACUAUACCUGAUUGAAUGGACAACUAUUGUGAAGAUAACAAGAUAUACUAUGGUACCUAUUACUGUUAUUCUGGUGUCCUGAAGUUCUGUAUCAAUUUCAUUGCACUGUUUUGAUGGGCUUUGUUCUGUCUUGUUUUGUUGUAUUUUACUACCUUCAAAAUAAAUAACUUUUAAAAAAGA